rnacentral:rRNA from 1 species
UACGUAGGGGGCAAGCGUUGUCCGGAUUUAUUGGGCGUAAAGAGCGUGUAGGCGGUUUGGUAGGUCCGCUGUGAAAACUCGAGGCUCAACCUCGAGACGCCGGUGGAAACCAUCAGGCUAGAGUCCGGAAGAGGAGAGUGGAAUUCCUGGUGUAGCGGUGAAAUGCGCAGAUAUCAGGAAGAACACCAACGGCGAAGGCAGCUCGCUGGGACGGAACUGACGCUAAGGCGCGAAAGCGUGGGGAGCGAACAGG